rnacentral:rRNA from 1 species
AAUUGACGCUGGCGGCAGCUUACCCAUGCAGUCGAGCGGAGCGAAGGUGCUUGCACCUUAGCUUAGCGGCGGACGGGUGAGUAAUGCUUAGGAAUCUGCCUAUUAGUGGGGGGACAACGUUUCGAAAGGAACGCUAAUACCGCAUACGUCCUACGGGAGAAAGCAGGGGAUCUUCGGACCUUGUGCUAAUAGAUGAGCCUAAGUCGGAUUAGCUAGUUGGUGGGGUAAAGGCCUACCAAGGCGACGAUCUGUAGCGGGUCUGAGAGGAUGAUCCGCCACACUGGGACUGAGACACGGCCCAGACUCCUACGGGAGGCAGCAGUGGGGAAUAUUGGACAAUGGGCGAAAGCCUGAUCCAGCCAUGCCGCGUGUGUGAAGAAGGCCUUUUGGUUGUAAAGCACUUUAAGCGAGGAGGAGGCUUCUUUGGUUAAUACCCAAAGUAAGUGGACGUUACUCGCAGAAUAAGCACCGGCUAACUCUGUGCCAGCAGCCGCGGUAAUACAGAGGGUGCAAGCGUUAAUCGGAUUUACUGGGCGUAAAGCGUGCGUAGGCGGCUAAUUAAGUCAAAUGUGAAAUCCCCGAGCUUAACUUGGGAAUUGCAUUCGAUACUGGUUAGCUAGAGUAUGGGAG